UACGGAGGGGGCAAGCGUUAUUCGGAUUUAUUGGGCGUAAAGAGCGUGUAGGCGGCCAGAUAGGUCCGUUGUGAAAACUCGAGGCUCAACCUCGAGACGCCGAUGGAAACCAUUUGGCUAGAGUCCGGAAGAGGAGAGUGGAAUUCCUGGUGUAGCGGUGAAAUGCGCAGAUAUCAGGAGGAACACCAAUGGCGAAGGCAGCUCGCUGGGACGUGACUGACGCUGAGACGCGAAAGCGUGGGGAGCAAACAGG
rnacentral:rRNA from 1 species